rnacentral:lncRNA from 13 species
CUGGAUUUGUGUUGGUAGCUGUUUGCAAUUCAAAUUAGUUUAUCAAGUGGUUUCAGAUUCUUCAAUCAGGGUCCUGAAGUUAACCUGGGGACACUGAGUGACUGCUUUAAUUGCAAAGAUGAUUUCACAUGGGUGAACUGGAAGCACUGUGGCUGAAUGAAAGGGAAAAUGAAAACAGUGCGUCGGUUGUCAUUUUCUCUCAAGCGAGGUAAAGUCACUGAAGGGAUCAGGGAAAGAUUUAAAUGUGGAAAGAUCAAUCUUAGAUGUGAUCUGAACUUCAAUUGAGUGAAAUUUCUUGAAUCCCUGAUGUGGAUGAGGAAUGCGGAGGAGUCCAAGUGAAAGCAGAUUUACUGGAAAGGAGAAUUGGAAAUUUCAAGAGGAGGAAGAGACUUGCAUUAUCUCAGAAGACACUUUGGACUUGGACUUUUGGAUUAAUGGUGGCACGAGGACAGGAAUUACAGGGUCAUAUUGUCAGAGACGUUCAAACCAGAGGAACUCCGUCUUGAAUAGGGGUGAGUAAAAUAAAGCUGAGACCUUCUGGGCUGCA